rnacentral:rRNA from 1 species
UACGUAGGGGGCAAGCGUUGUCCGGAUUUAUUGGGCGUAAAGAGCGUGUAGGCGGCUAGACAGGCCUGCUGUGAAAACUCGAGGCUCAACCUCGAGAUGUCGGCGGAAACCGUCUGGCUAGAGUCCGGAAGAGGAGAGUGGAAUUCCUGGUGUAGCGGUGAAAUGCGCAGAUAUCAGGAAGAACACCUAUGGCGAAGGCAGCUCUCUGGGACGGUACUGACGCUGAGACGCGAAAGCGUGGGGAGCGAACAGG